GUGCCAGCCGCCGCGGUAAUACAGAGGGUGCGAGCGUUUAUCGGAAUUACUGGGCGUAAAGGGUGCGUAGGUGGUUCGAUAAGUCAGUUGUGAAAUCCCUGGGCUUAACCUGGGAAUUGCAUUUGAUACUGUCGAACUAGAGUGUGGUAGAGGUAAGCGGAAUUCCCGGUGUAGCGGUGAAAUGCGUAGAUAUCGGGAGGAACAUCAGUGGCGAAGGCGGCUUACUGGACCAACACUGACACUGAGGCACGAAAGCGUGGGUAGCAAACAGGAUUAGAUACCCUCGUAGUCC
rnacentral:rRNA from 1 species